GCCACAGGGACCCAGGAAUCUGGAGGGGGAUGGGGCAAGGUGGGGACCCAGAUGUCCGGGUGGGGAGGGUGUGGGGCAGGGCCAGGACUCAGGCAUCUGGGCAGAGGAUGUGGAGGUGGGAUUGGGGCAAGGACCCAGGUAUCGGGGCAGGGUGUGUGGGGGCGGGGCAGGGACCCAGGUAUCGCGGCAGGGUGUGUGGGGGCGGGGCAGGGACCCAGGUACGCGGGCGGGGGAUGUGGGGGUGGGGACCCAGGUAUCGGGGCAGGGUGUGUGGGGGCGGGGCAGGGACCCAGGUACACGGGCGGGAGAUGUGGGGGCGGGGACCCAGGUACACG